rnacentral:lncRNA from 1 species
AUCUGAAUCUAGGGAAAGGGAUAUUCUAUGACAUAUCCAUCCCAUUGAUGGAUUGAGUAACGAUACUCACACAUCAGGGAACGUAGGUGGGCAAUGGACCUGCAGGUCCACUGUCACAUAACUUUCCUUCCCAUUGCUUAGUCCAUUAGGUCGCAGGCACAGGUAUACAUCUAGUGGUCUUUUGAUCUUGAUGAGGAGAAAACAACAGAGGAUCAUGGAAACCUAGCCACGAAUAGACAUGCAUGGCGUUUGUGUAAUUAGCACAACUUUGCUUCUGCAAGUCAGCAAUAGUGAUGGACAUUCAGAGUCUUAUUGCUGCUCUUAUUUGGACUUAUGUGAACUCCAGGCUCCGCCCCUGAUCCCCAGACCUGCUCUUAUUUAAGGGGUCCUCUCACUCUCGCCCUUUGUCCCAGUGGAAGCAUCAGUCUUGCAAUACAACUUGGUGAGUGCAUAUUACUUGCAUAUUAUUACUACUUAUUUCUAUGGAAAACAUCCAACUUUGUCGGGACUGGGAGUCCACUUUUUGGUUAUUUGAGUACAUCUUGACCUGGCACUGACCAGACAGAGCUGGUCUCUGACAUUGGAUGUAGUUUUUUACCAGGAUGAAUUCUUUGUAGCUUUAUUGAGGAAUGAACUAGAAGUACACUUUAAACUGAAGUCACUGCUUAUUGGAAUGAAUUGAUGGUAUCGCUCCAAAAUAAUAAGCAACAUUCUAUUCAGAGAUUUGUGAAUGAUACAUUACUUAUCAUGAGCUGAUUGUGCAGGUAAGGAGGGUGCAGGUAAUUAUUGUGUAAUAACUUAGUAAACACUUACCGGUACACUGAUUAAUGCCAGUCUGGUCAAGGAACAUCUAAAAGUGUCUAAUAAAUGAAGCCAUUAUAGGGAGAUGGGGUAAGGAGCCAUGCUGUAAACAGAGGUGUUACAAUGUGCCAACAGCUGCUCUCUGGGUUGGCUCCAACUCUCCCAUGCCUGAAAUAGCUCCAGAUAGGUGUCCAUGGAGGUCAAUGUGGCACAAUGUCUAAGCUGUGUUUGUAGCAGCCAGGAUGUUGAGCUUAAAAUAGAUAGCUUGUCUUGCCUGCUGUUGCCAAUGAUAUGGCCCUUUUUGGAGAUACCUCUAUGGCCCUAAAAAUGUCCUAAGAACCAUCAUGACAGCUGAGAUACAGUAUCGGUAGGGGCACAACU